GAUCAUGGCUCAGGAUGAACGCUGGCGGCGUGCCUAAUACAUGCAAGUCGAACGAGGUGCUUUUGUAGCAAUACGAGAGUAUCCUAGUGGCGAACGGGUGAGUAACGCGUUGGUGACCUACCCCAAAGUGUGGGAUAACAGUCCGAAAGGAUUGCUAAUACCGCAUGUGGUCUUCGGGUUUAGAAACUGAUGACUAAAGGAGCAAUUCGCUUUGGGAGGGACCUGCGUCCCAUCAGCUAGUUGGUGAGGUAAUGGCUCACCAAGGCUACGACGGGUAGGGGACCUGAGAGGGUGACCCCCACAAUGGAACUGAAACACGGUCCAUACACCUACGGGUGGCAGCAGUAGGGAAUAUUGCACAAUGGGCGAAAGCCUGAUGCAGCAACGCCGCGUGUGCGAUGAAGGCCUUCGGGUCGUAAAGCACUUUUCUGGGAGAUGAGCAAGGACAGUAUCUCAGGAAUAAGUCUCGGCUAACUACGUG
rnacentral:rRNA from 1 species